CCCUGGCUCAGGAUGAACGCAGGCGGCGUGCUUAACACAUGCAAGUCGAACGAUGAAGCCCAGCUUGCUGGGUGGAUUAGUGGCGAACGGGUGAGUAACACGUGAGUAACCUGCCCUUAACUCUGGGAUAAGCCUGGGAAACUGGGUCUAAUACCGGAUAGGAGCGCCCACCGCAUGGUGGGUGUUGGAAAGAUUUAUCGGUUUUGGAUGGACUCGCGGCCUAUCAGCUUGUUGGUGAGGUAAUGGCUCACCAAGGCGACGACGGGUAGCCGGCCUGAGAGGGUGACCGGCCACACUGGGACUGAGACACGGCCCAGACUCCUACGGGAGGCAGCAGUGGGGAAUAUUGCACAAUGGGCGCAAGCCUGAUGCAGCGACGCCGCGUGAGGGAUGACGGCCUUCGGGUUGUAAACCUCUUUCAGUAGGGAAGAAGCGAAAGUGACGGUACCUGCAGAAGAAGCACCGGCUAACUA
rnacentral:rRNA from 1 species